AGCCACUGCUGCAAGGAAAGGUAUGAUUCAGUGAAGAAAAGAACAAAUGAAAAAGAAGUGACUGAUACAUAUGCAGUAAAGGCCAUAGCAAACUGAUAUCUUAUUCACAUAUUAACAGAAGCUUUCAAGAACCUUUUAAUGGUUGGCCAAAACCUUCUGAUAAAUGGCCAAGGGAGGUCCAGAAGAAGCAAUAUCCACCACAAGCACAUUUUUCUUUCAUUCAAAUACACUCAUCUGUUUAUUGAAGCAUUUCAAUACAAGCAUCCAUCCACUUUCGCAAACAUGGUCGACAACAGUACAAGUUUAUAAGCUCUGCGACAUAAAUACGUAAAUGGAUGCCAAUGGAGUACUAGUAUAAAGAAGCAAGUACCUCCAACAAGGAAGCAGCAAAUUGCAUUUGGGUCUCCUCAUUUAUGGUCAAGAAGAGAGGUACAUGCACAAAGAGUGACUGUAUCCCAUUUUGCUCUGCAAAGCGGAGUGAGUGGUAGUAAACAUAAUUGCAGACGAACCGACCAGCAUCAUCAGAGGUCGUCACGUCAUAACCUUUCUUUACCAAGGCCUUUGUAAUAUCAUCAACAGGAAGAGUUGUCUGUAGGCAGUAAGAAUAAUAAAUCCACAUAGGUUAAUGAAACAGAGGUAAGAAUAGAUUUAGUAAACAUCAUUUUUGACCAUGCUAAACAAUAAGAUUGUCUUGUGAAGGCAAAAGCAGCAUAGCUGCUGCUUAUUACAUUCAGAGUCCGCCAUAUACCUCCACAUAACAUAUGAACAGCAUCCAAAUGAAGCCACUGUUUCCUAAUGUAAGUAAAAACAUUAAUGAUGGAUUGUAUUUGAAAUUUUCUCAAAACAGAUUGAUAUCUUCUAAAGAAACUUCAUUUCGAGAAUCUUCAAAUGAAACUGGAAAAAAGUUGAUGCUCAAAACAAAAGGAAUUGUGUUUAGUAGUGCUUUUAUUUCAAGGCAUAAAGCUUGUGGCUUUAGGUUGCAGUGAAAGAAACACUUAAUAGACCACUAAAGGCCAGAAUAAAAAGGGAAAUAGAUGCCUAAUAAAAGGAAUUAGGUCCCCUGAUAUAAUAAACAGAUGGUGGUUUCAGUAAUCGCUAGCUCCUCUGCCUUAGCCAAUUGAUGGCAGAGAGGCCAUAAAGAGUGGAAACCUUCGAAUACAUCAUCACAAAUCAGCCAUUCGGUCCAAGCUGCUAUGACAUGAGACUUUUCAACUCAUUUCCUUCCAUUUUCAAUUGGACAAUAUGUGAAUAUUGAGAAAGUUAAAAUUGAGAUGGUAAUUCCUAAAACCUACGAUAGGAACACAUAACAAAUAAGAGAGAUUGCAGACACUGAAAAAAGGUGCACAAGGAAACAACUAAUGGACAGGAAAUUCAACACUGCAAAUAUAAUGAUAGGCAAGCUGGAUAAAAAGAAAGACAAUCCAGGACACUUUCUAUUGAACUGCACAGCACUUUCAAGCUGAACACAGCACAUCAUCCCAAAAUAAAAAUUGCAGGCGGCUUCCCUUGCAUUGCUGAUUACACAAGCCCCUCAUUCUGCUUUGUACAUUUCCUUUUAAAAUAAAAACAUGGUACAAGAACGUGCCAUUGCAUAUUCUGUAACUUAGUUGCCGUGGAAAAGAAAAGAUGUGGUAGAAAAGUAAGUAGCCUCAAAUACCAUAAAUACAGUCCAAGAACUGGAUAAAACCUUUUUAUAUCAUAACAAAAGUCCAUCAACAUUCAGCAAUCAUGAUCAUCAAUUAAUAAUUUCUGCUUGUCAGAAAACACUUCUGGGAAUAAAGGUACAAAUAAAGGUAUAAUGAAACACAUGUACCUCUCUUACUCGUGAAAUUCCACCAUCUGAAGGAAUAAUAGGUACUUUCUGUGGUUUCCAUCCCAUCUCAUCAGGACACCGAAAAGUAGCUUCAUUGACAGCUUGGUGCUCAAUGGCAAAUCUUGCCGCUCCACUAUUAACCCCAAAGUGUAGCCAAACAAUUCUCCCAGAAGUUGAAGAUUCAGAAUCCUUUGUGUUUAUGGCAGAUUGAAAUGUUUGGUACAGGGGUAUGACUGCUCCUUGUCCAGCAGUUUCUAGAACACUACAGCUCCCCAAUAUCAAACCUUUUGGCAAACCCUUCUUCUUCAUGUACUCAUUGAGAUUACUUACAAUAGUCUCAGUUGGAUUCUCUGAAACUCCAUGGAAUUUCUUAAAUCCAGUUACGUGGAUUGUCACAGCAGGAGGCCCUUCAGACCCCAUUCGUACCUCAGUAUUUAGAUUGAAUGUUAUAGCAUGAAAUCUGAAACUAAAAUCCAAGGACCUGCAUGAAAAAUAAAAAGUAAAAUUAAGCUCAUCAGUCACACUAUUAGAAGCAAUUAAUCAAGACAAACAUAUGCAUAUCUCCAGUUAAACGAAUGCCCAUUAGAUAAUUUUUGUUCUUAAUCAAGUUGUAAUGCUCUUCCUUGUAUUCCCUCAUGGAAUAAACUAUGUAUUGUUUAAUAAUGACUAAGCUCUAAUCUGACAACAUUUUGAAUAACAAAAUACAAAAGACUAAACCCAGAAAAACUCUAUUCCACUUGAAACAAAAUAUUGAACACUGAGAAACUUUGCAUAGAGAGUUUGGAAGUGCAAGUCUCCGUUUCAUUCUGGAAAAUCGAAAGGCGAUUACAAAGGAACUAGCCUCAAAUUGGAGACAAAACAAAACAAACUUAGUCUAUCUGUGGAAUUGAAAACAAGGUAACAAAUUGAAAAUCUGCAGACAACAACCCAUUUUCUAACACCGUGAGAAGAUUAUACAAAUCUUAAAAUCCAAUCCACAACGAAAGAUAUACACAGCUAAAAUAGAUAACAAACUUCAAAGGUCACAGGACAUGACAAAAACAAACAACGCAAAAAGGAAAUGGAUCGCUAUUAAUCCACCUGAACUCAAAAUUCAAGCCAAUAUCGUUGAUCAAAGACCCAGAUGAUCAAUCUGUAAUCUUCAAGUGAAAAGAAAAAGAAGAUGAUAGAAAAGCAAAUGACUCAGCCACCAGCCUUAAUGAUAAAACUCCUCAAUGAACUGGUAAAGAUUCCAAUCAGAUUAAUAUAGAAAUGGGUAAUAAAGCAGAAAAAUAAAUAAAUAAAAUAAAAAUUACUACUAAAAAAAAUGCGGCCUUUUUUGUAAUCUUGCAGAUGUUGAAGCCAGAGGUAUCAUUUUCAUACCAAAAUAAUAAUAAAAUAUUGCAAGCUAUCUGUACUUCUAUAUUAUUUUUCAGAUUUUAACAUAUGUUUACGCCUUUAUCCAUCUUAAUCCAGCGGUAGAUGGGGCCCUGAAGGAUGAA
rnacentral:misc_RNA from 1 species